AAAUUGAAGAGUUUGAUCAUGGCUCAGAUUGAACGCUGGCGGCAGGCCUAACACAUGCAAGUCGAGCGGUAGCACAGAGAGCUUGCUCUCGGGUGACGAGCGGCGGACGGGUGAGUAAUGUCUGGGAAACUGCCUGAUGGAGGGGGAUAACUACUGGAAACGGUAGCUAAUACCGCAUAAUGUCGUAAGACCAAAGUGGGGGACCUUCGGGCCUCAUGCCAUCAGAUGUGCCCAGAUGGGAUUAGCUAGUAGGUGGGGUAACGGCUCACCUAGGCGACGAUCCCUAGCUGGUCUGAGAGGAUGACCAGCCACACUGGAACUGAGACACGGUCCAGACUCCUACGGGAGGCAGCAGUGGGGAAUAUUGCACAAUGGGCGCAAGCCUGAUGCAGCCAUGCCGCGUGUGUGAAGAAGGCCUUCGGGUUGUAAAGCACUUUCAGCGGGGAGGAAGGCGAUAAGGUUAAUAACCUUGUCGAUUGACGUUACCCGCAGAAGAAGCACCGGCUAACUCCGUGCCAGCAGCCGCGGUAAUACGGAGGGUGCAAGCGUUAAUCGGAAUUACUGGGCGUAAAGCGCACGCAGGCGGUCUGUCAAGUCGGAUGUGAAAUCCCCGGGCUCAACCUGGGAACUGCAUUCGAAACUGGCAGGCUAGAGUCUUGUAGAGGGGGGUAGAAUUCCAGGUGUAGCGGUGAAAUGCGUAGAGAUCUGGAGGAAUACCGGUGGCGAAGGCGGCCCCCUGGACAAAGACUGACGCUCAGGUGCGAAAGCGUGGGGAGCAAACAGGAUUAGAUACCCUGGUAGUCCACGCCGUAAACGAUGUCGAUUUGGAGGUUGUGCCCUUGAGGCGUGGCUUCCGGAGCUAACGCGUUAAAUCGACCGCCUGGGGAGUACGGCCGCAAGGUUAAAACUCAAAUGAAUUGACGGGGGGCCCGCACAAGCGGUGGAGCAUGUGGUUUAAUUCGAUGCAACGCGAAGAACCUUACCUGGUCUUGACAUCCACAGAACUUUCCAGAGAUGGAUUGGUGCCUUCGGGAACUGUGAGACAGGUGCUGCAUGGCUGUCGUCAGCUCGUGUUGUGAAAUGUUGGGUUAAGUCCCGCAACGAGCGCAACCCUUAUCCUUUGUUGCCAGCGGUCCGGCCGGGAACUCAAAGGAGACUGCCAGUGAUAAACUGGAGGAAGGUGGGGAUGACGUCAAGUCAUCAUGGCCCUUACGACCAGGGCUACACACGUGCUACAAUGGCAUAUACAAAGAGAAGCGACCUCGCGAGAGCAAGCGGACCUCAUAAAGUAUGUCGUAGUCCGGAUUGGAGUCUGCAACUCGACUCCAUGAAGUCGGAAUCGCUAGUAAUCGUAGAUCAGAAUGCUACGGUGAAUACGUUCCCGGGCCUUGUACACACCGCCCGUCACACCAUGGGAGUGGGUUGCAAAAGAAGUAGGUAGCUUAACCUUCGGGAGGGCGCUUACCACUUUGUGAUUCAUGACUGGGGUGAAGUCGUAACAAGGUAACCGUAGGGGAACCUGCGGUUGGAUCACCUCCUUACCUUAAAGAA
rnacentral:rRNA from 1 species